GAAGUACUCGGUUAUAUUAGAAUUUCAGAUAAACAACAGAUACAUUUUUUAGUAGAAGUAUAUCCCAUGAAAUAUUUGGGAUAUACUUAUACUAAAAAUGUUCAUUAUUUAUCUCAAAUUCUAAUUUAACUGGGCAUC
rnacentral:miRNA from 1 species